UACGAGGGGGGCGAGCGUUGUUCGGAAUUAUUGGGCGUAAAGGGUGCGUAGGCGGUUUGGUAAGUCUUAUGUGAAAUCUACAGGCUCAACUUGUAGUCUGCAUGAGAAACUGCCGGGCUUGAGUAUGGGAGAGGUGAGUGGAAUUCCUGGUGUAGCGGUGAAAUGCGUAGAUAUCAGGAGGAACACCUGUGGCGAAAGCGGCUCACUGGACCAUAACUGACGCUGGUGCACGAAAGCUAGGGGGGCAAACAGG
rnacentral:rRNA from 1 species